GGGUGACAGUAUUCUAGACAGUGUGAUAGGGUGACAGUAUUAGAGACAAUGUGAUAGGGUGACAGUAUUCUAGACAGUGUGAUAGGGUGACAGUAUUCUAGACGGUGUGAUAGGGUGACAGUAUUCUAGAAGGUGUGAUAGGGUGACAGUAUUAGAGACUAGACAGUGUGAUAGGUUGACAUUAUUAGAGACUAGAGAGUGUGAUAGGGUGACAGUAUUAGAGACUAGAUAGUGUGAUAGGGUGACAGUAUUAGAGACUAGACAGUGUGAUAGGGUGACAGUAUUAGAGAUUAGACAGUGUGAUAGGGUGACAGUAUUCUAGACAGUGUGAUAGGGUGACAGUAUUCUAGACAGUGUGAUAGGGUGACAGUAUUCUAGACAGUGUGAUAGGGUGACAGUAUUCUAGACGGUGUGAUAGGGUGACAGUAUUCAAGACUAGACAGUGUGAUAGGGUGACAGUAUUCUAGACGGUGUGAUAGGGUGACAGUAUUCAAGACUAGACAGUGUGAUAGGGUGACAGUAUUCUAGACAGUGUGAUAGGGUGACAGUAUUCUAGAC
ensembl:lncRNA